rnacentral:misc_RNA from 1 species
UUUCCGUAGGUGAACCUGCGGAAGGAUCAUUAUUGAAUGAAACACUUCUGGCUUUAUGCUGUUGUGCUGGCCCUUUGUGCAAUGUGCACACGGCUCUGGUCACUUGUUUCUUCUGUUCCACCUGUGCACUGCCUGUAGACACGCUGUGUCUAUGAUAUUUGUUAACACACAACAAUGUUAGUUGGCAUGUUAUAUAUAAUAAUAAAAUAUACAACUUUCAACAACGGAUCUCUUGGCUCUC